CCGAGUUUACAACUCCCAAACCCCUGUGAACCUUACCGUAUCGUUGCUUCGGCGGCCACGCCCCGGCGCCCCCGUGCCCGGAACCAGGCGCCCGCCGGAGGCCCGAAAAACCAUGUCUUGUACAGCGGCAUUAUCUGAGUGGCACAAGCAAAUAAAUCA
rnacentral:misc_RNA from 1 species